rnacentral:rRNA from 1 species
GAAAGAUUCAUCGGAAGAGGAUGGGCAUGCGGCGCAUUAGCUAGACGGCGGGGUAACGGCCCACCGUGGCGACGAUGCGUAGGGGUUCUGAGAGGAAGGUCCCCCACACUGGUACUGAGACACGGACCAGACUCCUACGGGAGGCAGCAGUGAGGAAUAUUGGUCAAUGGGAGAGAUCCUGAACCAGCCAAGCCGCGUGAGGGAAGACGGCCCUAUGGGUUGUAAACCUCUUUUGUCGGAGAACAAAACCCGGGACGUGUCCCGGACUGCGUGUAUCCGAAGAAAAAGCAUCGGCUAACUCCGUGCCAGCAGCCGCGGUAAUACGGAGGAUGCGAGCGUUAUCCGGAUUUAUUGGGUUUAAAGGGUGCGUAGGCGGUCCGUUAAGUCAGCGGUAAAAUUGCGGGGCUCAACCCCGUCGAGCCGUUGAAACUGGCAGACUUGAGUUGGCGAGAAGUACGCGGAAUGCGCGGUGUAGCGGUGAAAUGCAUAGAUAUCGCGCAGAACUCCGAUUGCGAAGGCAGCGUACCGGCGCCAGACUGACGCUGAGGCACGAAAGCGUGGGGAUCGAACAGAAUUAGAUACCCUGGUAGUCCACGCAGUAAACGAUGAAUGCUGGUUGUCCGGGUCGAAUGAGAUCUGG